rnacentral:rRNA from 1 species
CUCAAUGANAAUUCAAUAGCCGCAAUAUUAUUGUGCUAAGGUAGCAUAAUCAUUUGUCUUCUAAUUAAAGACUAGAACGAAAGAUUUAAUAUUUAUAUUUCUCUCUCGUAUAUAAAUAUAUAAUUUAUUUUAAAUAUAAAAAAAUAUUUAUUAAUAAAAAAGACGAUAAGACCCUAUUGAACUUAACUAAAGUUAAACUGGGGUAGUUAAUUAAAAAUUAUUUUAAUUUUAAUUUCAUAAAUAACCUAACAUAAUUAAAUUCAUCAAGUUACCAUAGGGAUAACAGCGUAAUAAAUUUCUCAAGAUCUUAUUUAAAAAUUUGUUUACGACCUCGAUGUUGAAUUAAUAAUCUAUUAAAUGCAAUAAUUUAAUAAGAAAGUCUGUUCGACUU